UACGUAGGGGGCAAGCGUUGUCCGGAAUCAUUGGGCGUAAAGCGCGUGUAGGCGGGUCGGUAAGUCCGCUCUGAAAGCCCGGGGCUCAACCCCGGGAGGCGGGUGGAUACUGUCGACCUCGAGUCCGGAAGAGGCGAGUGGAAUUCCUGGUGUAGCGGUGAAAUGCGCAGAUAUCAGGAGGAGCACCAAUGGCGAAGGCAGCUCGCUGGGACGGUACUGACGCUGAGACGCGAAAGCGUGGGGAGCAAACAGG
rnacentral:rRNA from 1 species